GCGCAGACGGCGGAGAGCAGAGAGGGAGCGCGCCUUGGCUCGCUGGCCUUGGCGGCGGCUCCUCAGGAGAGCUGGGGCGCCCACGAGAGGAUCCCUCACCCGGGUCUCUCCUCAGGGAUGACAUCAUCCGUCCACCUCCUUGUCUUCAAGGACCACCUCCUCUCCAUGCUGAGCUGCUGCCAAGGGGCCUGCUGCCCAUCUACACCUCACGAGGGCACUAGGAGCACGGUUUCCUGGAUCCCACCAACAUACAAAGCAGCCACUCACUGACCCCCAGGACCAGGAUGGCAAAGGAUGAAGAGGACCGGAACUGACCAGCCAGCUGUCCCUCUUACCUAAAGACUUAAACCAAUGCCCUAGUGAGGGGGCAUUGGGCAUUAAGCCCUGACCUUUGCUAUGCUCAUACUUUGACUCUAUGAGUACUUUCCUAUAAGUCUUUGCUUGUGUUCACCUGCUAGCAAACUGGAGUGUUUCCCUCCCCAAGGGGGUGUCAGUCUUUGUCGACUGACUCUGUCAUCACCCUUAUGAUGUCCUGAAUGGAAGGAUCCCUUUGGGAAAUUCUCAGGAGGGGGACCUGGGCCAAGGGCUUGGCCAGCAUCCUGCUGGCAACUCCAAGGCCCUGGGUGGGCUUCUGGAAUGAGCAUGCUACUGAAUCACCAAAGGCACGCCCGACCUCUCUGAAGAUCUUCCUAUCCUUUUCUGGGGGAAUGGGGUCGAUGAGAGCAACCUCCUAGGGUUGUUGUGAGAAUUAAAUGAGAUAAAAGAGGCCUCAGGCAGGAUCUGGCAUAGAGGAGGUGAUCAGCAAAUGUUUGUUGAAAAGGUUUGACAGGUCAGUCCCUUCCCACCCCUCUUGCUUGUCUUACUUGUCUUAUUUAUUCUCCAACAGCACUCCAGGCAGCCCUUGUCCACGGGCUCUCCUUGCAUCAGCCAAGCUUCUUGAAAGGCCUGUCUACACUUGCUGUCUUCCUUCCUCACCUCCAAUUUCCUCUUCAACCCACUGCUUCCUGACUCGCUCUACUCCGUGGAAGCACGCUCACAAAGGCACGUGGGCCGUGGCCCGGCUGGGUCGGCUGAAGAACUGCGGAUGGAAGCUGCGGAAGAGGCCCUGAUGGGGCCCACCAUCCCGGACCCAAGUCUUCUUCCUGGCGGGCCUCUCGUCUCCUUCCUGGUUUGGGCGGAAGCCAUCACCUGGAUGCCUACGUGGGAAGGGACCUCGAAUGUGGGACCCCAGCCCCUCUCCAGCUCGAAAUCCCAUAGGUCACCUGAAAGCCUACCUCACAGGGCUGUUGUGAGGGCCGAGGCCUCCACAGCCACGGGGACACCCUGCACCUAUUCCCACGGGACAGGCUGGACCCAGAGACUCUGGACCCGGGGCCUCCCCUUGAGUAGAGACCCGCCCUCUGACUGAUGGACGCCGCUGACCUGGGGUCAGACCCGUGGGCUGGACCCCUGCCCACCCCGCAGGAACCCUGAGGCCUAGGGGAGCUGUUGAGCCUUCAGUGUCUGCAUGUGGGAAGUGGGCUCCUUCACCUACCUCACAGGGCUGUUGUGAGGGGCGCUGUGAUGCGGUUCCAAAGCACAGGGCUUGGCGCACCCCACUGUGCUCUCAAUAAAUGUGUUUCCUGUCUUAACAAAAA
rnacentral:lncRNA from 1 species